ACUUGCAACAUUGUAUCAAUUAUUCUGGGCCAGUGAGCUCUGGAUAGACAGACACAGCUGUGGACUAUUUGAUCAAGGGAUAAGAAGUAAUCGGGAAGAGCAUACUACAGUGAGAGGGAGUACCUGUUAAUUGAAAUGCAUUCCAGGACCUGAACCCUAGGACCAUGCCCCAGGACUACCUGACAUGAUGACUCCUUGCUGUCCCCAGUCCACCUGGCCGUGCUGCUGCUCCAGUUUUAACUGUUCUGCCUUAUUAUUAUACGACCAUGCUGGUCAUUUAUGAACAUUUGAACAUCUUGGCCAUGUUCUGUUAUAAUCUCC
ensembl:lncRNA